UUUUCCCCUUUAAUUAGAAUAUGAAACACUUAAUUAAUGUGGACAAUUUCUGGCAUUGGGAUUUCUUGUUAGGGAAUAUUUGUCAUCUUUGGAAUUUUUUUGAAUCUAGAAAGCUUCUGUUUUCAGGACAAAACACUGCUAUAAAGUUAAGAGUACAAUUUGAGUGUGGUAAGAGCAUGCAGUCAGUCCUUGAGCAGCUUUCUAGUUAAAAUACUGUUGAUUCUCACAGUUAUGCUUUUGCUUAUUUGUUGAUUUUGUUUUUUUAUUUCUUCUGUCAUCAUUCUCUCUGCUGUCCGAGAGCGAUCUGAAAUCCUGAAGAUGGGAAGGAGUUAGUGACCUGAAACUCUUAGAUCUGAGGGCUAAUGGAUGUGGCCACAAUCUUUCCCAGGCUAUGACUUGUCUUUUGAAUAUGCUUACUCUAUACCUUCCCAACUUUCUCCUCAUUUCCAAAUGUGGUUGCCUACCCUGUCCAGAAGGUGUCACUUGAAAAUACUUGUGGAGCCAUAUGAAAAAAUCUGAUUCUGUCUUCCCUAGAUAGGACAGCUCGAAAAGGAACAACAGCCUCCUGGGGAAUGGAUACUGACCCGUCACCAAAUUUUCCCACUCUCCCAAUUCACAAGUGUGGCCACUGCCUAUUGCCCUCUGGAUUACUCAAGCAUGGACACUUGCUUGGGUUUGCUGGCUUCUCCCACUCACCCUCUGUCUUCAUGUAGUGUGUCACUGUAAAAAGUGUGGAAUUUCAAAAGCACCUUGGUUCAGAUUAUAAAUAACCAGUUUCAUGGAAAAAUCUAAAAGAAUAAGAGCUUUUCUUUUCGUGAGGUUACAGUGAAAAAAAAACUUAAAGGGAGAUCUUGUUCCCUGUGUUUGGAGAGAGUAUGAAUAGAAAUUACUCCAAACUGCUUGAAACUGUUUACAGAGAUAGUUGAUUGAAUGUCUCGCACAGUAAUACAGACAUUGCAUUUAAGAAACCUGCUUACAAUUUCCAGGACUGAAUGCUAUUUUGCAUCUUUUUUUCUUUGAUGCCACUUUCCUAAACAGGCCAUCCUGGCUCUCCCAACCCACUCUCCUGAGUUGCAGCCACACAUUGUGGUGUCUUGUAUGUUUCUGUUACAUUCACAAGUAUUCCAGAAAAGAAAGGAAAAGGCUUACUGUGAUUCUGGAGUUUGUCAUCCAUUCAUGUUGGACUUUGAUAUUUGCUUUUAUACAAGUUCUGUAUUUCUUCUUAAAUAUUACUUUUAUGGUGACCUGUUUAAUAGUUGGUAAUCCUUUUUUUUUUUUUUUUUUUUUUGGUUAAGUUGCCAAUUGAAUUGCAAGUUCUUCACAUUGUUAGUUGGGGAUUGUGAAAUGACCAAAACAGAAAGCUGCGAUUUCAUCUGACUUCUUCCUUUCUACAAUGUAUUGCGUCUUUCCUCACUCUUGGAACAGGUCCUUAUACAAGGUCCUGCUACAGGACCAGUAGCUCUGAAGAUCAGCACUUUCCCAUGCCUGCUGGUAAAAUCAUCAUUGAUGAUUGUGAGAAAAUAAGCUGGGUUUGAUCAAAGUGUCAUCAUUAUUUAUGUUAAGUUGCCAAACACAUUUCCCCCGGGGCAGUCAAGUUAAUGAUGUGUACAGUCACAAGAUGUGAGUCCAGCUUCACUUCAGGGUCUCCACAUGACCUUGGGCAACUCCUUUUCAGAUUUCCCUGAUUCCUUAAAGUGAAAAAGGAAGACCACACAACCUCCAAGAUCCUUUUCCAGAUAGGAAGCUCUGGCAGGUUUAGACAUAGGAAACAAAUGCUGAUUUGUCUGUGAAAUUUGACCAUAUCUUUGGAUGUUGUAUCAUGUUUUCACGAAUACUGGAAACUGUGUGGAGUAACACCAGCUAAACUGCUCCCAGUAAUUCCAUUGCUUGUGUAUGUACUUUUAAGUCUCCUUUGCCCUGUCUGAAUGCUUAAGCCGCAUAUCCUGGGGUACAGUUGUAAUUCAGGUUUUGUAGAGGGUGGCACAUGUGUGAAGCACUAGAGGAACAGGACUUCUUCUGUUUGCAGUGCUGAAAAGUUAGUUUGAUUCCAGUCGGUCUCCAGGGAUAGAUAUAGAAGAGAGCAAUUACUGCCAACCACCUUUCUGUGGGGGAUUUCCUACAAGUUAUGGGGGCCUUCCAGCCCCUCAUGUGUCCCAUAGCAGUAUUGGGUAAUUGCUCUAUAUGGAGAAGUAUUACAUGUGUGUGCUUUCAGCAUCAACAAAAGAAUGGGAGGUCUUUGUGCCUACCCUGAGAUGAUAUCACAAGACACAGUAGGUGGCACGCAUGUCCAUAUAGCAACAGUAAGUGCCGUCAGAGCUGCUGCUUCAGCGCUGUUUCUGAGAAACAAGAUAAACCCCAGUCAACCCCUGCAGAGCCAAAGGUGAUUGCUCUUGCAUGUUGUCAGCUAGAAGAACAAGGUUCCUGAUAUUGCAACCUUUGGCUAGUUCUGUGUGUCCCAUAUUUUUGUAAGGAGAAAGUAUUUAACAUUCAACAUAAUGCUUCAGUGAGUUUCCUCUCACUUCAUUUCUGUCCUAAGGAUUGCCUUUUUCAACUCAUGUUGGGCAAACACAAAGAUUUUUACCUAGUUGCCAAUGAUGCUGAUUUGUAGUGAUCACCUUUGUGUUUUAUGUCCACUGUAUUUGAAUUUAUAAAACUGUUUCAUUAGCUUUCGCUAUAAGAUAGUAGCAACUUGUUACAAAUUAGAAACAUUAUCAAGCAUUUACUAUCAAAAUCUUAUCUUAGUAAAUCAUAUCCUGUAAGAAUAAAUCAAGUGUAUCACAAUGCUUGCAUACCAGAAACCUGUAAGAUGCUUUUGUGUUUGAUAGUUUGAAUUUUAGUAAAGACCCUGAGAUACAACCCUAGAAGCCAUCUUUUUUAACAAGUAAGACGUUACCGAUAGAUUGAACUGAAUGGGGCAUAACUGUUUUUUAGACUUAAAAAAAAUCUUUAUAAGCAUACUACAUAUGUGUGAGCAAUGUAUUGCUUAAAAGAAGCAAUGUAUUGCUUAUCUGUGGACAUGGUACAUGAAUGGAUUUACUGACAGUGUAGCAAGAUGUUUGCAAAAAGUACCAGCUACUUCCCUAACCCUGCGAAGUGAUUCACCAUGAGAAACCUCACAAUUAUUGCAACACUUCGCCUCAUGGUCUAAGAAUAUAGCAUGUACAUUUAUAAUGAAUGUUCACCAUGAUUGAUGGUAAAUGCUGAUAGAGGCCACCUAUUGAUUUAUCCAUAGUAAUAAAUGUUCAUCAAUCUUCUAGGUGGGUGAUAUUCUGUGUUAGAGAUACAGUAAUCAACAAAAGUUCACACAAUUUCUGUUCUCUAAUGUUUAUAGUCAAAAUAGGGGUCAGUGGGUGCUGAUUAAGUAAUUGUAAUGUGCAGAUUUGAAAUCUCAACAGAGUCCAACAGUCUGUUUCUGAUGGGAGAUUUGAUCUAUUCAGGGAGGUCAAGGAAUGUUCUCUAAGAAAAUGUUUCUUCAGUUAAGUUGUAAGAAGGUUUGAUGAAGUGCUGAAUGUACCCAGCCAGUAGGACAGCACUAAAGAUGCCCUAGGGCAGCCGACCACUUAGCAGACACCAGAGAUGUUGAAGCAUAAUCACUGGGAAACUCAGGAACAAGACUGGGAGCAGGUUGUGCCAGUCACCGCUGCACAUGACGUUCUGGAUACCACUCAGCGUGCUGCCAGGACUGCAGCAGACUUGGGGAGAGACAUUCUGACCCUGGAAUUGUGGAACUUAAAAGCUGUGUGAGUUGGGAAGCACCGUUCUCGUCCAUAAUAUUAGUCAGGAGCCAGCAUAUCACAGCAAUACAACUUGGUAGAACCUGGGCACAGUGGCUGCUGCUGUGUGCCUCUAAACCCUCCCCUGGCAUUGCUCCCGGGUAGGGGUCCCACACUGGAGGCUAA